rnacentral:lncRNA from 1 species
UGUGACCCACAAAGAUCAAGGAAUCUAAGCCGGCCAAG